rnacentral:rRNA from 1 species
UACGUAGGGUGCAAGCGUUGUCCGGAAUUAUUGGGCGUAAAGAGCUCGUAGGCGGUUUGUCGCGUCGACCGUGAAAACUUGGGGCUCAACCCCAAGCCUGCGGUCGAUACGGGCAGGCUAGAGUUCGGUAGGGGAGUCUGGAAUUCCUGGUGUAGCGGUGAAAUGCGCAGAUAUCAGGAGGAACACCGGUGGCGAAGGCGGGACUCUGGGCCGAUACUGACGCUGAGGAGCGAAAGCGUGGGGAGCGAACAGG